rnacentral:rRNA from 1 species
UUAAGCGACUAAGCGUACACGGUGGAUGCCCUGGCAGUCAGAGGCGAUGAAGGACGUGCUAAUCUGCGAAAAGCGUCGGUAAGGUGAUAUGAACCGUUAUAGCCGGCGAUGUCCGAAUGGGGAAACCCAGUGCAAUUCGUUGCACUAUCGUUAACUGAAUACAUAGGUUAACGAGGCGAACCGGGGGAACUGAAACAUCUAAGUACCCCGAGGAAAAGAAAUCAACCGAGAUUCCCCCAGUAGCGGCGAGCGAACGGGGAGCAGCCCAGAGUCUGAAUCAGCUUGUGUGUUAGUGGAACGGUCUGGAAAGUCCGACGGUACAGGGUGAUAGUCCCGUACACCAAAAUGCACAGGUUGUGAACUCGAAGAGUAGGGCGGGACACGUGGUAUCCUGUCUGAAUAUGGGGGGACCAUCCUCCAAGGCUAAAUACUCCUGACUGACCGAUAGUGAACCAGUACCGUGAGGGAAAGGCGAAAAGAACCCCGGCGAGGGGAGUGAAAAAGAACCUGAAACCGUGUACGUACAAGCAGUGGGAGCACCUUCGGGUGUGACUGCGUACCUUUUGUAUAAUGGGUCAGCGACUUAUAUUCUGUAGCAAGGUUAACCGUAUAGGGGAGCCGCAGGGAAACCGAGUCUUAACUGGGCGUUAAGUUGCAGGGUAUAGACCCGAAACCCGGUGAUCUAGCCAUGGGCAGGUUGAAGGUUGGGUAACACUAACUGGAGGACCGAACCGACUAAUGUUGAAAAAUUAGCGGAUGACUUGUGGCUGGGGGUGAAAGGCCAAUCAAACCGGGAGAUAGCUGGUUCUCCCCGAAAGCUAUUUAGGUAGCGCCUCGUGAACUCAUCUUCGGGGGUAGAGCACUGUUUCGGCUAGGGGGUCAUCCCGACUUACCAACCCGAUGCAAACUACGAAUACCGAAGAAUGUUAUCACGGGAGACACACGGCGGGUGCUAACGUCCGUCGUGAAGAGGGAAACAACCCAGACCGCCAGCUAAGGUCCCAAAGUCAUGGUUAAGUGGGAAACGAUGUGGGAAGGCACAGACAGCCAGGAUGUUGGCUUAGAAGCAGCCAUCAUUUAAAGAAAGCGUAAUAGCUCACUGGUCGAGUCGGCCUGCGCGGAAGAUGUAACGGGGCUAAACCAUGCACCGAAGCUGCGGCAGCGACACUAUGUGUUGUUGGGUAGGGGAGCGUUCUGUAAGCCUGCGAAGGUGUGCUGUGAGGCAUGCUGGAGGUAUCAGAAGUGCGAAUGCUGACAUAAGUAACGAUAAAGCGGGUGAAAAGCCCGCUCGCCGGAAGACCAAGGGUUCCUGUCCAACGUUAAUCGGGGCAGGGUGAGUCGACCCCUAAGGCGAGGCCGAAAGGCGUAGUCGAUGGGAAACAGGUUAAUAUUCCUGUACUUGGUGUUACUGCGAAGGGGGGACGGAGAAGGCUAUGUUAGCCGGGCGACGGUUGUCCCGGUUUAAGCAUGUAGGCUGAUUGUCCAGGCAAAUCCGGAUAAUCAAGGCUGAGGUGUGAUGACGAGGCACUACGGUGCUGAAGUAACAAAUGCCCUGCUUCCAGGAAAAGCCUCUAAGCAUCAGGUAACAUCAAAUCGUACCCCAAACCGACACAGGUGGUCAGGUAGAGAAUACCAAGGCGCUUGAGAGAACUCGGGUGAAGGAACUAGGCAAAAUGGUGCCGUAACUUCGGGAGAAGGCACGCUGGUGUGUAGGUGAAGUCCCUGCGGAUGGAGCUGAGACCAGUCGAAGAUACCAGCUGGCUGCAACUGUUUAUUAAAAACACAGCACUGUGCAAACACGAAAGUGGACGUAUACGGUGUGACGCCUGCCCGGUGCCGGAAGGUUAAUUGAUGGGGUUAUCCGUAAGGAGAAGCUCUUGAUCGAAGCCCCGGUAAACGGCGGCCGUAACUAUAACGGUCCUAAGGUAGCGAAAUUCCUUGUCGGGUAAGUUCCGACCUGCACGAAUGGCGUAAUGAUGGCCAGGCUGUCUCCACCCGAGACUCAGUGAAAUUGAACUCGCUGUGAAGAUGCAGUGUACCCGCGGCAAGACGGAAAGACCCCGUGAACCUUUACUAUAGCUUGACACUGAACAUUGAGCCUUGAUGUGUAGGAUAGGUGGGAGGCUUUGAAGCGUGGACGCCAGUCUGCGUGGAGCCAACCUUGAAAUACCACCCUUUAAUGUUUGAUGUUCUAACGUUGGCCCCUGACCGGGGUUGCGGACAGUGUCUGGUGGGUAGUUUGACUGGGGCGGUCUCCUCCCAAAGCGUAACGGAGGAGCACGAAGGUUAGCUAAUCCUGGUCGGACAUCAGGAGGUUAGUGCAAUGGCAUAAGCUAGCUUGACUGCGAGCGUGACGGCGCGAGCAGGUGCGAAAGCAGGUCAUAGUGAUCCGGUGGUUCUGAAUGGAAGGGCCAUCGCUCAACGGAUAAAAGGUACUCCGGGGAUAACAGGCUGAUACCGCCCAAGAGUUCAUAUCGACGGCGGUGUUUGGCACCUCGAUGUCGGCUCAUCACAUCCUGGGGCUGAAGUAGGUCCCAAGGGUAUGGCUGUUCGCCAUUUAAAGUGGUACGCGAGCUGGGUUUAGAACGUCGUGAGACAGUUCGGUCCCUAUCUGCCGUGGGCGCUGGAGAAUUGAGGGGGGCUGCUCCUAGUACGAGAGGACCGGAGUGGACGCAUCACUGGUGUUCGGGUUGUCAUGCCAAUGGCACUGCCCGGUAGCUAAAUGCGGAAGAGAUAAGUGCUGAAAGCAUCUAAGCACGAAACUUGCCCCGAGAUGAGUUCUCCCUGAGACUUUAAGUCUCCUGAAGGAACGUUAAAGACGAUGACGUUGAUAGGCCGGGUGUGUAAGCGCAGCGAUGCGUUGAGCUAACCGGUACUAAUGAACCGUGAGGCUUAACCUU